rnacentral:rRNA from 1 species
UUUGUCUUUAUGGCAAAUGUGAGAUGCAGUGUAUGGAAUGUCAAAUUUCUAGUAUGAGAAAUUAAUGAUUUAAGUCCUUCUUAAAUGAGGCCAUUUACCCAUAGAGGGUGCCAGGCCCGUAUAACGUUAAUGAUUACUAGAUGGCAUUUCCAAAGAGUCGUGUUGCUUGAUAGUGCAGCACUAAGUGGGUGGUAAACUCCAUCUAAAACUAAAUAUAACCAUGAGACCGAUAGUAAACAAGUACCGUGAGGGAAAGUUGAAAAGAACUCUGAAUAGAGAGUUAAAUAGUACGUGAAACUGCUUAGAGGUUAAGCCCGAUGAACCUGAAUAUCCAUUAUGGAAAAUUCAUCAUUAUGAUUUUAAUAUAUUAUAAUAAUGGUGUGCAUUUUUUCUAUAAAGGACAUUGUAAUCUAUUAACAUAGAGUAUUUAUCAUAAGAUCGCAAAAGUUUAUUCAAAUUAUUUUGCUUGCAAUUUAACAUAGAAUAAAUGCAUUUGAUUUGAUAAAGUGUUGAUAGAUUUUAUAUAUAGUGCUUAAAUAAUAUUUUAUAAUAUCGUAUUAAUCAUUGAUUUUUAUGAUUAUUAUAUGCACUUAUAUGAUUAACAAUGCGAAAGAUUCAGGAUACCUUCGGGACCCGUCUUGAAACACGGACCAAGGAGUCUAACAUAUUUGCAAGUUAUUGGGAAAAAACCUAAUAGCGAAAUUAACAUAACUAAUUGGGAUUAAUUUUUAGUAUACUAUUAAUUCAAUCCCGGGGCGUUCUAUAUAGUUAUGUAUAAUAAUAUUUAUAUUAUUUAUACCUCUAACUGGAGCGUACCUUGAGCAUAUAUGCUGUGACCCGAAAGAUGGUGAACUAUACUUGAUCAGGUUGAAGUCAGGGGAAACCCUGAUGGAAGACCGAAACAGUUCUGACGUGCAAAUCGAUUGUCAGAAUUGAGUAUAGGGGCGAAAGACCAAUCGAACCAUCUAGUAGCUGGUUCCCUCCGAAGUUUCCCUCAGGAUAGCUGGUGCAUUUAAAAAUUAUGUAAAAUAAUCUUAUCUGGUAAAGCGAAUGAUUAGAGGCCUUAGGGUCGAAACGAUCUUAACCUAUUCUCAAACUUUAAAUGGGUAAGAACCUCACCUUUCUUGGUAUGAAGGUCGUGGUUGUGAUAUAAUGUGCCCAGUGGGCCACUUUUGGUAAGCAGAACUGGCGCUGUGGGAUGAACCAAACGUAAUGUUACGGUGCCCAAAUUGACAACUCAUACAGAUACCAUGAAAGGCGUU